CUGACUGGAUGAGUAUUCAACGUGUGUUAGAAUUUGAUUUAUUUCAAAUGCUUCUAAUAUUUUUUGUGAAGAAAUUUAUGAUGAUAUGUAGAAUUUUCUAUUGGUGUUUGAAAGUUGUAAUAAUGCCAACAUUAUUAGAAAAUUUCCUGAUUCCAUCAUUAAAUGAGAAUUCAUUUGGGCACCUACUAUCCUGGGUGGAUGAAGGGAAUGGUAUUCUGAAAGUGUUCUGGCAACAUAAAAACAGCAACCAAUGGAAGGGAGAUUUCGCAGUAUUCAAAGCUUGGGAUGCUAUGAAAGGAAGGAUGGGAACGGAAACUAACUUCAGAUACUUAACUCAAGCGAAACAGCGCUUCCGAGCGGCAAUGCUAAAGCACAACUCGCUAAAAUUACUAAAAUCAUCAGAAAAAUUCGGGUAUUACCAAAUACUGAAUUAGA